GACGAACGCUGGCGGCGUGCCCAAUACAUGCAAGUAGAACGCACAGUUUAUACCGUGGCUUGCUACACCAUAGACUGUGAGUUGCGAACGGGUGAGUAACGCGUAGGUAACCUGCCUGGUAGCGGGGGAUAACUAUUGGAAACGAUAGCUAAUACCGCAUAAUAUUAAUUAUUGCAUGAUAAUUAAUUGAAAGGUGCAAUUGCACCACUACCAGAUGGACCUGCGUUGUAUUAGCUAGUAGGUGAGGUAACGGCUCACCUAGGCGACGAUACAUAGCCGACCUGAGAGGGUGAUCGGCCACACUGGGACUGAGACACGGCCCAGACUCCUACGGGAGGCAGCAGUAGGGAAUCUUCGGCAAUGGACGAAAGUCUGACCGAGCAACGCCGCGGGAGUGAAGAAGGUUUUCGGAUCGUAAAGCUCUGUUGUAAGAGAAGAACGGGUGUGAGAGUGGAAAGUUCACACUGUGACGGUAGCUUACCAGAAAGGGACGGCUAACUACGUG
rnacentral:rRNA from 1 species